GGUGGUGGAGAUGACGGUGGAAUUUGGCGACGAUCUUUUAAGCAAUUGUGGGAAUUGCUUUGGAUGGUUGUGGAGGGUUGAUGGAUGGCUGUGGAAGGGCAACGAGAUGCCAAGAACGCUGCUACGAUACCAGGUGUUACAACCCUUGCAGAUUCUAAACUUGGGGUUGAUCUCUUUAGGGGAUCGGCCUCCUUGGAACUC
rnacentral:lncRNA from 1 species